rnacentral:tRNA from 1 species
AAAGUUUUAGCUUAAUUAAAGUAUCUGUUUUGCACACAGAAGAUGUGGGUUAGUGUCCUGCAAGUUUUA